GAAAAGCAAGACCGCAAGCAGAAAAAGGUGGCCAUUGAGCCGCCUGUCUGUCUGGAGCACCAGAGCAGAGAAAGGGUUGCACUGCGCCAGGGUAUGGGAAGAUACCUAGAGAGUUCUAGAGACAUGUGUGCUAAAGAAAGACUCCAGCCAUGAAACCCUUUACCACAUGCACAGGAGAGAAUGAUUGCAUGAGGUUUUUAAAGACUUCAAGGCUGAGACGAGCCUGAAAAUUAUCCAAUUAAAGGAAGGAAGAUUGCAGACUGCUUAGUCACCUGGAGAGAGAGAGUAGCCCUUACAAAAUGAGAGGAGAUGAUUACAUUACUUAAGAGCAUUGAUCAACAUGUUUGGCAGGACAAGUGGAAAUGUUUUUCUCUUAAAUAAUUCAAGCCUGCAGGCUACCAACAGAGUUUAAGAUCGUGUAAGCGCCUGCUCUAUACAAAUGUGUGUGGUGUUCCAGUGGUGAAUGAGUAGAGUUUAAAUGAAGAGUAAGUAAAACUUACUGUCUGCAUUCAACUGAGAGUACCUGAAUAAAGCCUCUGAUGAUCAGUGGAAAGUCACUGAAGACUCCGAGCAAACAGUGCCGCCCUCCUCACCUCUCUGCUCGGAUGCCCCGCUGACGCUGGAGAUCUGACCGUACUGGUAUCCCAGUGGGGAGAGGACCUGAGUAUGCGUGGUGGAUUUGCCAGCCCAAGUACUGGGCGGUCUGUACAUGCUUCUGCUGCACCAGCGAGGCCUCUGGGCACAAGCCUGCAAGAGUCUGUCAUCAACUCAACUGCCGGGCAUCAAAGGAGAACAGUUGGGGGUCCAGACUGUUUUCCCAGGCAGGAACGAUGACGCAGUGACUGUCACAGGUUAUUUCAGAGUUCAGAAUCUCAGGUCUCCAUCCUCCAUGCCUUUCUCUGAACAGACGUGGUACGGUCCAAAGCUGGUCUGGAUUUCCCCCUGCAUUGAGGUCUACUCCAAACAAGAACAGACUUCAAAACCGAGGCCUGUUGUCCAGGAGGUUCCUUGGAAUGAAGCCAACGCGAGGCCAGGGCUCUGGAGGGUCUCCUCGGAGCAGAGGGGCCGGCGGCGGCCAGAGCCCUGGUGGCCUUUGGCUGGAAGCACUGUCCUGAUCUGCACGUCCUGUGAGUAAACCCCAGCAGGCUCAGCCCUAGGCCAGAGGGAAGUUACCCUGCUUCUCCUUGAAGAAGAACUGGAUGUACUCCCACAUCUCCCCUCCCCUCUUGCUGAUGUUAAAAAGUAGAUUC